CUUACUUUCAUAAUGACCUCUAAGGGGAAGUUCCAACUUACCACAUAUAUUGUUGAUUUAGUUAGAGCUAUAAAUUUUUCUUUAAUGGUGCCUUCUAUCAAAGAUUGUUUAAAAUGGUUCCAGAGAAUUACAUUCGUUGCAUGACCAUUUGUUGCUCCGUGAGUUGUUAAGUAUCCUUUUUGAGGUUGAGUGGGAAAAUUACGACAAGGAAAACAAAAAAUAGAGUUUCUGGUUAUGCUAUAUUCAAUCCAGGGAAAGGAUUUGUACCACUAAGUUUGAAAGCAUCGUUUAUCUUUACCCAUUCUAAUAUAUGGAUAGGCACCUAAUAUAGGUUGCAUAGGACCAGUUGUUUUAGUACCCAGAUCUAAUUCUUCUGAAAAAAGUGAUAAAAAUUAAUAAAUGAAUUAAAAUAUUAUUGGUUUUAGAAAAUUAUGACAAAUAUUAUAUAUUUGAA